rnacentral:rRNA from 1 species
CCUACGGGAGGCUGCAGUGGGGAAUAUUGGACAAUGGGGGGAACCCUGAUCCAGCCAUGCCGCGUGUGUGAAGAAGGCCCUCGGGUUGUAAAGCACUUUCAGUGAGGAAGAACGCCUGGUGGUUAAUACCCAUCAGGAAAGACAUCACUCACAGAAGAAGCACCGGCUAACUCCGUGCCAGCAGCCGCGGUAAUACGGAGGGUGCGAGCGUUAAUCGGAAUUACUGGGCGUAAAGCGCGCGUAGGUGGCUUGAUAAGCCGGUUGUGAAAGCCCCGGGCUCAACCUGGGAACGGCAUCCGGAACUGUCGAGCUAGAGUGCAGGAGAGGAAGGUAGAAUUCCCUGUGUAGCGGUGAAAUGCGUAGAGAUCGGGAGGAAUACCAGUGGCGAAGGCGGCCUUCUGGACUGACACUGACACUGAGGUGCGAAAGCGUGGGUAGCAAACAGGAUUAGAUACCCCUGUAGUC